UACACAAGAGGAAUUGCCAGGACCUUGCAGCCUGUUCCUAUCCAGCACUGCUUUGACUUAGCUUGGCUAUAGAGCAACUUUUAUAGAGAACUUUGGCAAAAAACAAUUCUCUGUGAACUGCAUAUCCAAACCAAGAAGCAUUAAUCAUAAUGAACACGCAACUUUUCCCUAUGUCAACAUUGCUUAGCACCAGCAUUUUCUCACAAGGUGUUUUUCAUUCUAAGAUCAGGAAAGUGAGUGGAUGUCGUCUUUGUAUGUAUUUACCACCGCUGUCCCUUCCUCCCCCUCUUCCUUUCCUGUUCCUUCCCUUCCUAUUUUCUUCCUUCUUUAAUCCCCUCCCUUUCUCUCUUCUUCCUUAUUUCAGUCCUUCCUUCCUUCCAUCUUUUCAGUCCAUAAAACAUUUUUCUUAGCCGUGAAGCAUUUGUUUUGACAAACCAGCUCUUACCCUCCACUGCCCUUUCUCCAAGGAGAUGCUGUAUAGCAUGUGCACAUCGCCCUAGGACUAGGUAAUAUGCAAGACUCCCUGUAAUCGUCAAGUCCUUGAUGAAAAUAUCUGAGAGAAUGCAGAACAGUGUACAGAAAGAACACAUCCCCACAAAUCAGUGGGAAGAUUUCUAAAACCCCUACUCUGGCUUCAGUCCUGCACUAGAUGCCUCCCACCACACACUCCUUUGUUUUUCCCCUCCCAUAAUCAGGGAUGCACAUCACCAACUCUGGAGUGGGAGGCUGCUCAGGAGAAGAGUAAUGCUCAAGCACCUUCAUACUUGGAAACUUAAUGAACUUUGCUUAAGCUUCUGAUCUCUCCUUUCCAUGCUGUUUGAUGUACAUAAAGAUGAAGAAAGCAGAGACUCAAAGGUCAUCUUGAAAUUCACUUAGAUCUGCCCUCUCCUCCACACCAUCUGGGUGCAGCUUUAUGUUCUGACCACUGAAUGCUAAAGAUUAGUAACUAGAGGACAUUGGUAUCUUUUGCUGAUACCCUUUGAAGAAGGAACUGCUGAUAAGAAAGCAAUUUUGU
rnacentral:lncRNA from 1 species